GUGAAACUCAAUUUUAUUCAUAAAUAUAUUAUAAGAAAAAAAAAGAAAAAAGGAACCAGGUAAGCAGGUUGGCAAAUGGAAAAAAGGAAAUAGACCUUGUCUUCGUGUGUAUGAAUGGGAGAGAUUUGCUUAUAUUUGCUUGUUUGUUUGACAGUCUGUCAUCUCUCUUUCUUCUCUUAUAUAUAUUAUUAAUCUUCUUUCAUUCACAUUUACUUGUUUCUUUUUUCUGAGAAGAAGAGAGACCUGAGACAACCUUGGCUUCCAAGCCAUGAGUCUCUUCGGCCUCGGUAGCAGAAACCAGAAGACAUUUCGGCCUAAGAAGAAUGCUCCAUCUGGAAGCAAGGGUGCUCAACUUAAAAACCACAUAGAUGCUACCUUGGGUAGUGGGAACCUAAGAGAAGCGGUGCGACUGCCUCCUGGAGAAGAUAUCAAUGAGUGGCUGGCCGUUAACACUGUGGACUUUUUCAAUCAAGUGAACAUUCUAUAUGGAACUCUUACAGAGUUCUGCACAGCAUCAAACUGUCCAACAAUGACUGCAGGACCAAAAUAUGAGUAUAGAUGGGCUGAUGGAGUUACCAUCAAGAAACCGAUUGAGGUGUCUGCUCCAAAAUAUGUUGAAUAUCUGAUGGAUUGGAUUGAGUCUCAGCUAGAUGAUGAGAUGAUUUUCCCUCAAAAAUUGGGGCCACCUUUUCCACCAAAUUUCCGAGAUGUUGUCAAGACAAUCUUUAAGCGGUUGUUCCGAGUAUUUGCUCACAUCUACCAUGAGCAUUUUCAGAAGAUUGUGAGUUUGAAGGAAGAAGCUCAUCUUAAUACUUGCUUUAAGCAUUUUGUUCUCUUUACAUGGGAAUUCCGCUUGAUUGAUAAAGGGGAGCUUGCACCUCUACAAGAACUUGUUGAGUCUAUUCUGCAGUUAUAGUGUCCUGUGAAUCUCUUUCUUAAAAGAUUUUAGAUUUUAAUUAAUUAGCAUGAAUGUUUUGGCUACACAUUUUUGUGAGCUUCCAAUUGUUCAUGCCCUUGGUUGAUUUUUUUUUUUAAUAUAAAAGAAAUGACUUGAUAAGCUUAUAAAAUGAAAACAGAUUUUGGAUUCCAACUAUAAUGAAUUUACGCCAGUUCAAUGUUCC
rnacentral:misc_RNA from 1 species